AAUUCCUAGUGUAGAGGUGAAAUUCGUAGAUAUUAGGAGGAACACCAGUGGCGAAGGCGACUUUCUGGACUGUAACUGACGCUGAGGCACGAAAGUGUGGGGAGCGAACAGGAUUAGAUACCCUGGUAGUCCACACCGUAAACGAUGAAUACUAGGUGUCGGGGGUCGAACCUCGGUGCCGCAGCUAACGCAUUAAGUAUUCCGCCUGGGGAGUACGCACGCAAGCGUGAAACUCAAAGGAAUUGACGGGGACCCGCACAAGUAGCGGAGCAUGUGGUUUAAUUCGAAGCAACGCGAAGAACCUUACCAAGUCUUGACAUCCUUAUGCAAAUCUCUUAGCCGAGAUGUUCUCUUCGGAGACAUAAGUGACAGGUGGUGCAUGGUUGUCGUCAGCUCGUGUCGUGAGAUGUUGGGUUAAGUCCCGCAACGAGCGCAACCCUUAUGUUUAGUUGCCAUCAGUUAGGCUGGGCACUCUAGACAGACUGCCGUGGACAACACGGAGGAAGGUGGGGAUGACGUCAAAUCAUCAUGCCCCUUAUGAUUUGGGCUACACACGUGCUACAAUGGUCGGUACAACGGGCAGCGUAGGAGUGAUCUGGAGCGAAUCCUAAAAAGCCGAUCUCAGUUCGGAUUGUAGGCUGCAACUCGCCUACAUGAAGUUGGAGUUACUAGUAAUCGUGGAUCAGAAUGCCGCGGUGAAUGCGUUCCCGGGCCUUGUACACACCGCCC
rnacentral:rRNA from 1 species